UGUUGUUACUUUAAUAUUUUGAAUUUUACUUUAAUGCGCUGGUAAAAUCCUAAAAAAGUGCUGGCAAAAAUGGCUUUAUGCCAGCACUUUUUUAGGAUUUUACCAGCGCAUUAAAGUAAAAUUCAAAAUAUUAAAGUAAC
rnacentral:miRNA from 1 species